rnacentral:rRNA from 1 species
UACGAAGGGUGCUAGCGUUGUUCGGAAUCACUGGGCGUAAAGCGCGCGUAGGCGGCUUUUCAAGUCAGGGGUGAAAUCCCACAGCUUAACUGUGGAACUGCCUUUGAAACUGUAAAGCUGGAAUGCGAGAGGGGAUAGCGGAAUUGCUAAUGUAGAGGUGAAAUUCGUAGAUAUUAGCAGGAACACCGGUGGCGAAGGCGGCUAUCUGGAUCGCAAUUGACGCUGAGGCGCGAAAGCAUGGGGAUCAAACAGG